GGCGGGGUUCCGCCCGGAGGAGGCGGAGAAGUUCCGUCCCCCGGAUCUCCGGCUUCCGGCUACUCGACUGGACAGGGACUCGUGCAGAGUAUCUGAGGCCGGAUCCUUUUUGGGAGCUGCUGGGCGCCGAACCCCGCGAGACCCCUGCGCAUUUUCUUCCUAAUAAUUGAUCAAAGACCCACUGGCUAAAUGGCAGCUGUAGAUGACUUGCAAUUUGAAGAAUUUGGUGAUGCAGCCACUUCUCUAGCGGCAAAUCCAGAUGCCACCACGAUAAGCAUUGAGGAUUCUGGUGAAACUGGAAAACAUCAGCUAGGCACCCCAAGAGGCUCGGGAAGAGAAGAGGAUGAUGAGUUACUGGGGAACGAUGACUCUGACAAAACUGAGUUACUUGCUGGACAGAAGAAAAGCUCCCCCUUCUGGACAUUUGAAUACUAUCAAACAUUCUUUGAUGUGGACACUUACCAGGUCUUUGACAGGAUAAAGGGGUCUCUUUUGCCAAUACCAGGAAAAAACUUUGUGAGAUUAUAUAUUCGCAGCAAUCCAGAUCUCUACGGCCCCUUUUGGAUAUGUGCCACGUUGGUCUUUGCCAUAGCAAUUAGUGGGAAUCUUUCCAACUUCUUAAUCCAUCUGGGAGAGAAGACUUACCAUUAUGUGCCCGAAUUCCAAAAAGUGUCCAUAGCAGCUACAAUCAUCUAUGCCUACGCCUGGCUGAUUCCUCUCGCACUCUGGGGUUUCCUCAUGUGGAGAAACAGCAAAGUUAUGAACAUCGUUUCCUAUUCGUUUUUGGAAAUUGUGUGCGUCUAUGGAUAUUCACUCUUCAUUUAUAUUCCCACAGCUAUACUGUGGAUUAUCCCCCAGAAAGCUGUUCGUUGGAUUCUAGUCAUGAUUGCCCUGGGCAUCUCAGGGUCUGUCUUGGCGAUGACAUUUUGGCCAGCUGUUCGUGAAGAUAACCGGCGCAUUGCAUUGGCCACAGUUGUGACAAUUGUGUUGCUUCAUAUGCUUCUUUCUGUGAGCUGUUUGGCAUACUUCUUUGAUGCACCAGAGAUGGACCAUCUCCCAACAGCUACAGCUAUUCCAAAUCAAACAGUUGCAGCAGUCAAAUCCAGCUAAAGAGAAAAUGCAUUGCUUAGAACUGUCACAUGGCCAAACCUAACAUUGAAGAGGUCCAUGAAGUACAAUCCUAUUAUGUGCCCAUGGGGCAGAGGGCUGGAAAUACUUGGUGAACAGCAUUAAUAACUACCACAUUAUAAGAAAGAUAUGACCCCCAAGUAAUAGGAGGCAGAGGCAAGCCCCAUCAAAGAGCCAAAAGAGUGCAGUCUGGGUCCAGAAGGGGCAUCCAAGGAAGGAGGAGAAACCUGAGCCUUCUUUUCAAUUUGCUGAACCUUUCAAAUUCUUCCCUCAAGCUUGGAGUUUGGCAAAAAUAAUGACUCAGGUUUGUCCUAGGGCACAUCUUUUACGUGCCCUACUGGGAAAUACAAUCCAUGUUUUUUGAAUUUAUUUUUUUGCUUGACUCAUCAAAAUACUGUUGCACAAGAGACUGUGGAUGUCUAAGGAGCUGUCUUGCAAAAUAAAUAGUUUUUAUUUUGCCUUUGGAAAUGGCUAAUCACAUUUUUACUGAAUCAGCAGCCUUCUCUUUUGGAAGAACUGAAUUUGAAAACUUGGAACUUCUGCUUCAUGUACCAAGUUACAGCUGGGAAGAAAGAAGGAAUUUUUUUGCCACGACCACCCCCUAAUAUUUUUCAGGCUGUAAAAUGCCUAGGACUAUAAAGCAACUGAAGGUUUUGAAAUGAAAACUUUAGGAAAAUGAUGGCUCAUUUUUAAAUCUUAGGGAAAUCUGAAAACAGACUGAGUAAUUAGCACAUACCUUUACCUUGUUGGGAGAGAGAGAGAAAUAGGUAGUUUAAAAUGAGAGUCCAGAUUCUUCAGGGUCUCAAAUUAUUCACAUUAGAUCUUCUAUGCCUAUCCUCUCUAUGUGUGACUUUAAAAAAAAAUCCUUUUUGUCUCUUUCUUUACUCCUUUUUAAUUUAAAAAUGUCCUUCCUCUGUUAUGGAAGUACCUGUUAUGUUUCUUUAUUCUUGAGUUCCUGCUAGUUCAAUCUUCAUUUCUAUAAUGAUUUUUCUUUUAUUUUUAUUUUUCCCCUGAGUUCUGUCUCCUAAUUUCUGAGUUUUUAAAAAAAUAUUAAUUGGUAUUGCUCUUUCA